rnacentral:rRNA from 1 species
GACGAACGCUGGCGGCGUGCCUAAUACAUGCAAGUCGAACGAACUCUGGUAUUGAUUGGUGCUUGCAUCAUGAUUUACAUUUGAGUGAGUGGCGAACUGGUGAGUAACACGUGGGAAACCUGCCCAGAAGCGGGGGAUAACACCUGGAAACAGAUGCUAAUACCGCAUAACAACUUGGACCGCAUGGUCCGAGUUUGAAAGAUGGCUUCGGCUAUCACUUUUGGAUGGUCCCGCGGCGUAUUAGCUAGAUGGUGGGGUAACGGCUCACCAUGGCAAUGAUACGUAGCCGACCUGAGAGGGUAAUCGGCCACAUUGGGACUGAGACACGGCCCAAACUCCUACGGGAGGCAGCAGUAGGGAAUCUUCCACAAUGGACGAAAGUCUGAUGGAGCAACGCCGCGUGAGUGAAGAAGGGUUUCGGCUCGUAAAACUCUGUUGUUAAAGAAGAACAUAUCUGAGAGUAACUGUUCAGGUAUUGACGGUAUUUAACCAGAAAGCCACGGCUAACUACGUGCCAGCAGCCGCGGUAAUACGUAGGUGGCAAGCGUUGUCCGGAUUUAUUGGGCGUAAAGCGAGCGCAGGCGGUUUUUUAAGUCUGAUGUGAAAGCCUUCGGCUCAACCGAAGAAGUGCAUCGGAAACUGGGAAACUUGAGUGCAGAAGAGGACAGUGGAACUCCAUGUGUAGCGGUGAAAUGCGUAGAUAUAUGGAAGAACACCAGUGGCGAAGGCGGCUGUCUGGUCUGUAACUGACGCUGAGGCUCGAAAGUAUGGGUAGCAAACAGGAUUAGAUACCCUGGUAGUCCAUACCGUAAACGAUGAAUGCUAAGUGUUGGAGGGUUUCCGCCCUUCAGUGCUGCAGCUAACGCAUUAAGCAUUCCGCCUGGGGAGUACGGCCGCAAGGCUGAAACUCAAAGGAAUUGACGGGGGCCCGCACAAGCGGUGGAGCAUGUGGUUUAAUUCGAAGCUACGCGAAGAACCUUACCAGGUCUUGACAUACUAUGCAAAUCUAAGAGAUUAGACGUUCCCUUCGGGGACAUGGAUACAGGUGGUGCAUGGUUGUCGUCAGCUCGUGUCGUGAGAUGUUGGGUUAAGUCCCGCAACGAGCGCAACCCUUAUCAUCAGUUGCCAGCAUUAAGUUGGGCACUCUGGUGAGACUGCCGGUGACAAACCGGAGGAAGGUGGGGAUGACGUCAAAUCAUCAUGCCCCUUAUGACCUGGGCUACACACGUGCUACAAUGGAUGGUACAACGAGUUGCGAACUCGCGAGAGUAAGCUAAUCUCUUAAAGCCAUUCUCAGUUCGGAUUGUAGGCUGCAACUCGCCUACAUGAAGUCGGAAUCGCUAGUAAUCGCGGAUCAGCAUGCCGCGGUGAAUACGUUCCCGGGCCUUGUACACACCGCCCGUCACACCAUGAGAGUUUGUAACACCCAAAGUCGGUGGGGUAACCUUUUAGGAACCAGCCGCCUAAGGUGGGACAGAUGAUUAGGGUG